rnacentral:ncRNA from 1 species
GCAGAGUAGGACUUUGCGCGUUAAGUGCUGCGCGGACGGGGAGUUGCCGUGCGGACGAAAGGGUAAAACCCUUGCGGUGCAAAGUUCGCAUCCCGCUGC